rnacentral:tRNA from 1 species
GGCUUGGUGGCUGAGUGGUUAAGCACCUGGCUUCUGAACCCAGGGACCUGGGUUCAAAUCUCGGUGAAGACU